rnacentral:rRNA from 1 species
AACGAACGCUGGCGGCAUGCCUAACACAUGCGAGUCGAACGAGACCUUCGGGUCUAGUGGCGCACGGGUGCGUAACGCGUGGGAACCUGCCCUUAGGUUCGGAAUAACUCCCCGAAAGGGGUGCUAAUACCGGGUAAUGUCUUCGGACCAAAGAUUUAUCGCCUUUGGAUGGGCCCGCGUUGGAUUAGCUAGUUGGUAGGGUAAAAGCCUACCAAGGCGACGAUCCAUAGCUGGUCUGAGAGGAUGAUCAGCCACACUGGGACUGAGACACGGCCCAGACUCCUACGGAAGGCAGCAGUGGGGAAUAUUGGACAAUGGGCGAAAGCCUGAUCCAGCAAUGCCGGGUAAGUGAUGAAGGCCGUAGGGUUGUAAAGCUCUUUUACCCGGGAUGAUAAUGACAGUACCGGGAGAAUAAGCACCGGCUAACUACGUG